rnacentral:lncRNA from 1 species
UGCAAAGGAAUGUGAAAUAGAUGCUGGAAAAAGUGUGCUGGCAGAUGGAGCUGGUGCCCGCUAAGUUCGUAGAGGAAAGUGACGAAGAUCCUAAAGCACCGCCUGACUAUCAUAGGAGUUGGGAAUAGGUCAUGUCACUUUGUAGUUUGUGUUUAGCGUGCUGAACGCACAGUUUGUCUGUUUAUUUAUUUAUUUUUUUUUUGUGUUUAAGGUUUAUUUGUUUUCAUGUAUGUGUGAUAAUUUUGGUAUACGAACAUGUGUUGUUCGUAUAUUUAGUGAUUAAAUUAUAUAAAUAAUGAAUUAUAGUAAAAUCCCUUUUGUCUCCUUGUUUGGGAUUCACUAUUUGUGGACAAGUAAUCUGUUUGAUGAUUAUGAAAUUAUUGUGGAUCUAUCUAUUGUUGAGGUAUUUGUAAAUGAUUGCAAAAAGAAUUG